rnacentral:snRNA from 1 species
UUGCUUUGGUAGCACAUAUACUAAAAUUGGAACGAUACAAAGAAGAUUAACACAGCUCCUGAGUAAGGAUGGCAUGCAUAUUCAUGAAGCAUUCCAUAUUUUA